AUUGACCUCGGAUCAGGUAGGGAUACCCGCUGAACUUAAGCAUAUCAAUAAGCGGAGGAAAAGAAACCAACAGGGAUUGCCUUAGUAACGGCGAGUGAAGCGGCAACAGCUCAAAUUUGAAAUCUGGCCCCUUCGGGGUCCGAGUUGUAAUUUGUAGAGAGUGUUUCGGGUGAGGACCCGGUCUAAGUCCAUUGGAACAUGGCGUCAUAGAGGGUGAGAAUCCCGUAUGUGACCGUGGAUCGAGCCCAUGUGAAGCCUCUUCGACGAGUCGAGUUGUUUGGGAAUGCAGCUCAAAAUGGGUGGUAAAUUUCAUCUAAAGCUAAAUACUGGCUGGAGACCGAUAGCGCACAAGUAGAGUGAUCGAAAGAUGAAAAGCACUUUGGAAAGAGAGUGAAACAGUACGUGAAAUUGUUGAAA
rnacentral:rRNA from 1 species